UACAGAGGGUGCGAGCGUUAAUCGGAAUUACUGGGCGUAAAGGGUGCGUAGGUGGUUCUUUAAGUCAGAUGUGAAAUCCCUAGGCUCAACCUAGGAAUUGCGUUUGAGACUGAGGAACUAGAGUACAGGAGAGGGAAGUGGAAUUUCCGGUGUAGCGGUGAAAUGCGUAGAUAUCGGAAGGAACAUCAGUGGCGAAGGCGACUUCCUGGACUGUUACUGACACUGAGGCACGAAAGCGUGGGGAGCGAACAGG
rnacentral:rRNA from 1 species